AUUUAUUUCCUUUUUAUUUUUUAUUCAUCAUUUUAUUAUAAAAAAAAAAAAUCAAAAAAUGUCCAAAGCAGCAAGGUCAGGGACGCAAUUUCUCCAACCCAGAAGCUUUUUUUUUCCUUUCUUCUCUUUCUUUUGCUGCAGCACAACAGAAACAAAAGGAAAAUGUUAAACAACCUGCAACCUGCAUAAUAACAACAGCAAACUCAAAGCAUUGUCCUUUUCCCAUUUUGAACUGAUGCNNNN
rnacentral:lncRNA from 1 species